GCACCAGACUCACUGAAUUCCCUGCUAUCGCCCUCUCUUUCCGCCCAAAUCGCACCCAGAACUUAAGCCCAAUCUCAGGUGACAACAUAAGGCAGGCGUAAAACCCUUCAGCCAAAGGGACUCAGACGACCAAGGCAAUCCCAGCAGGGUUGUCAUCUCCCGAGACCAAGGGGGCUUGCUACAGCAGGAAACCACAAAGGAAAAGUCCAGGGAAAACGUGGAAGAGGCAGACCGACA